rnacentral:misc_RNA from 1 species
GUAAGUGUACUAUUCUCUAGAUUUUCAUUGCCAAUCUAUGUGUGGAGAGAUCAAAUGUUAAAAUUAGACAUUAUAGAUCUCACAUAAUAUUUGUGUAAAUGUUUUAUAUCCCUGGUUGUGCCUUUUCUUUUGGGGCUUAAUCCUAAAUUAAUUUCAUGUUCAAGAAUCUGUGAAUUUUGUUCUUUUUCAAAAUUUUUAUCAUGAUUAAAGUAUUUUUAUUGUUUUAUUUGUAGUAUUUAGAACUGUAAGAGAGAUGGAUCUUUAAUUUUAUUUUUGAUAAUAUGUCCGCUGAAGGAGCUUGGAAUGUUCAGAUGAUAUAGUACCAUGUGGCAUGGUUUGUGUAUUGCGGCACCUUCUCAUAGGCUUUUGAACCAUAAUUACUUUCUUUUGUUUGUCUGGCCUGAUAUCAGAUUGUUGAUCUGAAUGCCUGGAUUUCUUCUUUCUUUGAAAAAAUCGGACCUAGUUGAAACCUUCCUGUUCUCAAUUUUUUUUGGCAGUCUUCUCUCAACUUUAGCUGGCUGUUCAGAUAGGAUGCUUAGUUCUGCACCCCCCCACCAACACCCCACAAAC